rnacentral:rRNA from 1 species
GUGAACGCUGGCGGUAGGCCUAACGCAUGCAAGUCGAACGGCAGCACAGUAAGAGCUUGCUCUUACGGGUGGCGAGUGGCGGACGGGUGAGGAAUACAUCGGAAUCUACUUUUUCGUGGGGGAUAACGUAGGGAAACUUACGCUAAUACCGCAUACGACCUACGGGUGAAAGCAGGGGAUCUUCGGACCUUGCGCGAUUGAAUGAGCCGAUGUCGGAUUAGCUAGUUGGCGGGGUAAAGGCCCACCAAGGCGACGAUCCGUAGCUGGUCUGAGAGGAUGAUCAGCCACACUGGAACUGAGACACGGUCCAGACUCCUACGGGAGGCAGCAGUGGGGAAUAUUGGACAAUGGGCGCAAGCCUGAUCCAGCCAUACCGCGUGGGUGAAGAAGGCCUUCGGGUUGUAAAGCCCUUUUGUUGGGAAAGAAAAGCAGCAGGUUAAUACCCCGCUGUUCUGACGGUACCCAAAGAAUAAGCACCGGCUAACUUCGUG